GAGUAGUUAGUAUAAGAAGUACGUGUGAUUUCGGCUCGCGUGGUGAGAUAAUCCUCACUACUUU
rnacentral:tRNA from 1 species